GCUCCGCCCCCUCGUGCCGCCGUAGCUCCGCCCCCUUUUCAGGCCCGCCCGCACUGCACAGCCCGCUGUCACAGUUUUAUAGAGUCUGCAUACCAAAGUAUUAACAUAUCUCCGAUGCUGUUGUUAUGGUGAUGGGAUGCACUUAGAGCCGGUAUACGUCAUCGGGUGGUCAGCGGUGUCUACAGGUGAUGACGCAACCGGAAAUUGGUCUACCGGGGCUCCGGGGAUGCUGCACGUGGUGUGUUAAGUUGUAUUAAGGUGAAGGUAUGGUGGCUGGUUAGGAUGAGGUGAUGUAAAUUCCAAGUCCAAUGAGUGAUCCUUCUAUUGAAACAAAAUGGCUUAACGCAUUUCCCUACGCAAGAGCAAGCAACUUCUUCACCAGCAUGUUGCCGGAAUUCUGGAAUUUGAUAAGCGUUUGUGAAGAGUGCUGUUACUAUAUGGUGGUUUUCUUUGGCAUGCAUGUGCAAUCGGAGAUGGGGUGCUGGAUGACACCCACCCAAAUGACGUCACCGUGGCAUGCAGGAAUAGGAGCAUGGAGACCCUUAUAGUGUGAAUAGAAAGAAUCUGAGAUUGAAAACACUAAAUAGCAAUUAAGUUGCUUGACCUGCUGUAGUUCUUGUCACUGCAUUGAUAAUGUAUUUUACAAUCCUUGGUGAGCUGCCAGAAAAUGCAUUCAUGAAGACCAGAAGUAGAUUUACAACUUAGUUGUUUAUUUACAAAGUGUUGGGUUGUAAAAAACCCAACCUUGUGACUGCGUAUAGGCAACAUUUAAAAGGGCAAUGCUUUUACCAGCAAAUCACGGCUAGUAAAAUCAUUGACCUUUUAAAUUUUGGUCCGAUGCUUUGUAAAUAAACCCCCUUGACUGGGCAGUUUUACAAAAUGAAGAUUGUUGUUUAAAGUAGAACUACUACUGCAGAAUUUAUUUAUAGGUGGAAAUCAGUAAUUGGUGUUAAAUAAAUACUAGUUUAAGAAUGACAUCUCAUCCACACCUAAGUGGGAAUGGUAAUUAUUAUUAUUAUUAUUAUUAUCAUCAUCAUCAGUAGUAGCAGCAGUAGUAUUUUAUAUAACACUGUGAAUCAGUUUAAGAGCUCUCUUAAAGGGCACAAUUCAAUUGUUGUUUUUUUCACUCUGAUUGCACCCAUAAAGCUUGGGUUUAGCCAUGUAAAACAGCUAAACCGGAAAAAAGUGCUGGGCGCAAUCACGUAAAAUGCCGUUUGGGUACCCAAACAGGUCACUUUUCGCGCAUUUCAGCUCACAACCCCUGGGAGUGCGAGCUGAAAUGUAGACUCCGGUAGCCAUUGCGACUGAACAGAGCUACAAUUGAAUAGUUUUGUUUGGGCGCCAUCUACUGACUGCCAGCGAAACAAUUGAAUUCCGUCCAAAGUCGGUUCUGUUCACGACCCUUACAUUUUUGGAAAACUGCGAUUGUAAAUAUGUAAGAUGAUAAAACAAAAAUGUCUGCAGCAAUACUCAUUGAUACCAACAAGCAGUGGCGUAGAUUGGACUUUGUGGGCCCCACAGCAACAUUUUGAAAGGGCCCCUGUCCCAGUGCUUCUAGAGAGACACCUGUCCACAGUCGUUGUUAAUUUUAUGCCCCAAAGUAGUACCCUAGUUUAUUUUCUGGACAAUAGUAGAGCCCUAGUUCACAUUAUGUCACAUUGUAGGGCUGCCAGUGCACAUUAUACAACACAGUAUCCCCAAUUCACAUUAUGACAUACAGUGUACCCAGUUCAUAUAAUGCCAAAUCAUAGAGCCUCCACUUCAUAUUAUGCUACAUUACUGAACCCCCAGUUCAUAUAAUGCCAAACUAUAGUGCCUUCACUUCACAUUAUGCCACAUUACAGUAACCUACUUCAUAUUAUGUAACAAUAUAGUGCCCUCUUGUUUAUUUUAUACUACAUUACAAUGCACAGGUCCAGAGGUAUAACUAGAUAUAUUGUAGGUCCCAAGGCAAAAGUUUGUAAGUGCCCCUAUGUAUCACCCAAUGGUGAAUAAUGUAUAUAACACAUGUAUCUGUGACAUGGAAGGUGGUCCCUCUAAGCUCUGGGCCCCAUAGCAGCUGCACUCCCUGCACCUAUGGUAGCUAUACCCUUAUAUAUAGACAUGUAACUGUGACAGGGAAGGUGGCCCCUCUAAGCUCUGGGCCCCAUAGCAGCUGCACUCCCUGCAUCUAUGGUAACUAUACCCUUGUAUAUAGACAUGUAACUGUGACAGGGAAGGUGGCCCCUCUAAGCUCUGGGCCCCAUAGCAGCUGCACUCCCUGCACCUAUGGUAGCUACACCCUUGUAUAUAACACAUGUAUCUG